AUUGAACGCUGGCGGCAUGCCUUACACAUGCAAGUCGAACGGCAGCACGGGAGCAAUCCUGGUGGCGAGUGGCGAACGGGUGAGUAAUAUAUCGGAACGUGCCCAGUCGUGGGGAUAACGUAGCGAAAGCUACGCUAAUACCGCAUACGAUCUAAGGAUGAAAGCGGGGGAUCGCAAGACCUCGCGCGAUUGGAGCGGCCGAUAUCAGAUUAGCUAGUUGGUGAGGUAAAGGCUCACCAAGGCGACGAUCUGUAGCUGGUCUGAGAGGACGACCAGCCACACUGGGACUGAGACACGGCCCAGACUCCUACGGGAGGCAGCAGUGGGGAAUUUUGGACAAUGGGCGCAAGCCUGAUCCAGCAAUGCCGCGUGCAGGAUGAAGGCCUUCGGUUGGUAAAC
rnacentral:rRNA from 1 species